GCCCAGGUAGCUCAGUCGGUAGAGCAAAGGACUGAAAAUCCUUGUGUCGGUGGUUCGAUUCCGCCUCUGGGCACCA
rnacentral:tRNA from 1 species